CCUCAUAGCACACGCUGCCAUCCAGUGCCACAGAGAGACAAGGGAGAGAGAAAAGCCACAGUAACAACACGAAAGACUGUCUCAGACCAGUCGCCAGUAGCUCGAAGCCCACCCUUGAGUGGCACUGCAGUACCCUGAUGAGCAGUCAAAGAAAAGUACAUAUGGUUUGUGGAACUACACAAAAAGCCUACGUCGAUGUGAGAAAGGCCAUCCACCAACUUGAAGACAACGGUUACCUCUCAGGAGAGAGAGAGAAAUGGGAUCGAGUGGGAUACACGGGGACAUCUACACCAUCUCUGUGAUAUUUUUACUUCUUCAGGCAAAAUGUUCACAUUUGUCAGAUCUUAUUGGUGGCACAUAGGUAUACUUUAGAUGAUUUGUCAUUCCCUGUGUCUGAAAUGUUUCGUUUUAGCCUUUAAAUUUUAAAAAGAGGAAAAUAAACUUGAAUAGAAAGUU